AUUGAACGCUGGCGGCAUGCCUUACACAUGCAUGUCGAACGGCAGCACGGGAGCAAUCCUGGUGGCGAGUGGCGAACGGGUGAGUAAUAUAUCGGAACGUGCCCAGUCGUGGGGGAUAACGCAGCGAAAGCUGUGCUAAUACCGCAUACGAUCUACGGAUGAAAGCGGGGGAUCGCAAGACCUCGCGCGAUUGGAGCGGCCGAUAUCAGAUUAGCUAGUUGGUGGGGUAAAGGCCUACCAAGGCGACGAUCUGUAGCUGGUCUGAGAGGACGACCAGCCACACUGGGACUGAGACACGGUCCAGAGUCCUACGGGAGGCAGCAGUGGGGAAUUUUGGACAAUGGGCGCAAGCCUGAUCCAGCAGUGCCGCGUGCAGGAUGAAGGCCUUCGGGUUGUAAACUGCUUUUGUACGGAACGAAACGGUGAGCUCUAAUACAGUUUGCUAAUGACGGUACCGUAAGAAUAAGCACCGGCUAACUACGUGCCAGCCGCCGCAGUAA
rnacentral:rRNA from 1 species